rnacentral:rRNA from 1 species
CCUACGGGUGGCAGCAGUGAGGAAUAUUGGUCAAUGGGGGAAACCCUGAAGCAGCCACGCCGCGUGGAGGAUGAAGGUUUUCGGAUUGUAAACUCCUUUUUUUAGAGAAGAUAAUGACGGUAUCUAACGAAUAAGCACCGGCUAACUCCGUGCCAGCAGCCGCGGUAAUACGGAGGGUGCAAGCGUUACUCGGAAUCACUGGGCGUAAAGCGCGCGUAGGCGGGAGAGCAAGUCAGAUGUGAAAUCCUAGGGCUUAACCAUAGAACAGCAUUUGAAACUGUUAGUCUAGAGUAGGGGAGAGGUAGGUGGAAUGCUUGGUGUAGGGGUAAAAUCCGUAGAUAUCAAGAGGAACACUGAUUGCGAAGGCGACAUGCUAGAACAUAACUGACGCUGAGGCGCGAAAGCGUGGGGAGCAAACAGGAUUAGAUACCCCUGUAGUC